GACMUGGCUCAGGACGAACGCUGGCGGCGUGCCUAAUACAUGCAAGUCGAGCGGGGUUAUGUUAGAAGCUUGCUUUUAACAYAACCUAGCGGCGGACGGGUGAGUAACACGUGGCAACCUGCCCAUSAGACUGGGAUAACUACCGGAAACGGUAGCUAAUACCGGAUACAUCCUUUCCCUGCAUGGGGAGAGGAGGAAAGACGGAGCAAUCUGUCACUGAUGGAUGGGCCUGCGGCGCAUAGCUAGUUGGUGGGGUCAAGGCCUACCAAGGCGACGAUGCGUAGCCGACCUGAGAGGGUGAUCGGCCACACUGGGACUGAGACACGGCCCAGACUCCUACGGGAGGCAGCAGUAGGGAAUCUUCCGAAUGGGCGAAAGCCUGACGGAGCAACGCCGCGUGAGUGAUGAAGGUUUUCGGAUCGUAAAGCUCUGUUGCCAGGGAAGAACGUCUUGUAGAGUAACUGCUACAAGAGUGACGGUACCUGAGAAGAAACCCCGGCUAACUACGUGCCAGCAGCCGCGGUAAUACGUAGGGGGCAAGCGUUGUCCGGAAUUAUUGGGCGUAAAGCGCGCGCAGGCGGCUCUUUAAGUCUGGUGUUUAAUCCCGAGGCUCAACUUCGGUCGCACUGGAAACUGGGGAGCUUGAGUGCAGAAGAGGAGAGUGGAAUUCCACGUGUAGCGGUGAAAUGCGUAGAUAUGUGGAGGAACACCAGUGGCGAAGGCGACUCUCUGGGCUGUAACUGACGC
rnacentral:rRNA from 1 species